GCAGUGGCGGUUCAGUGGUAGAAUCCUUGCUUUCCAUGCAGGAGACUUGGGUUCAAUCCCUGGCCGGUCCA
rnacentral:tRNA from 1 species